CGUCUAGGCGGAUGAGCAAGUCGGCUGUGAAAUCCCUCGGCUCACCCGAGGAAGUGCAUCCGAUACUGCCUGUCUUGAGGACGAGAGGGGAGAGUGGAACUCCUGGUGGAGCGGUGAAAUGCGUAGAUAUCAGGAGGAACGCCGGUGGUGAAAGCGACUCUCUGGCUCGUUUCUGACGCUAGAAGCGCGAAAGCGUAGGGGAGCGAACG
rnacentral:rRNA from 1 species